UAGGGAAUCUUCCGCAAUGGGCGAAAGCCUGACGGAGCAACGCCGCGUGAGUGAUGAAGGUCUUCGGAUCGUAAAACUCUGUUAUUAGGGAAGAACAAAUGUGUAAGUAACUAUGCACGUCUUGACGGUACCUAAUCAGAAAGCCACGGCUAACUACGUGCCAGCAGCCGCGGUAAUACGUAGGUGGCAAGCGUUAUCCGGAAUUAUUGGGCGUAAAGCGCGCGUAGGCGGUUUUUUAAGUCUGAUGUGAAAGCCCACGGCUCAACCGUGGAGGGUCAUUGGAAACUGGAAAACUUGAGUGCAGAAGAGGAAAGUGGAAUUCCAUGUGUAGCGGUGAAAUGCGCAGAGAUAUGGAGGAACACCAGUGGCGAAGGCGACUUUCUGGUCUGUAACUGACGCUGAUGUGCGAAAGCGUGGGGAUCAAACAGGAUUAGAUACCCUGGUAGUCCACGCCGUANACGAUGAGUGCUAAGUGUUAGGGGGUUUCCGCCCCUUAGUGCUGCAGCUAACGCAUUAAGCACUCCGCCUGGGGAGUACGACCGCAAGGUUG
rnacentral:rRNA from 1 species